rnacentral:lncRNA from 1 species
CACUUUACAUUUGGGGUCACAAAGGAGUAAUUAAUUUUAAGAUAAUGAUAAAUUAAUGAGGGACUACUGCUCAAAAUGAUGCAACACUUUUCUUAAUGAGAGACAAAAGGGUACCUAAUGAAGAGGUAAUGAUGAAAUAAUGAGGGGCAGCUCAGUAACUACCUGUACUCACUAUUGUGUAUCUCUGCAUGCAGGGCGAACUUAAAGUAAGUCCAGCAGGGUCACUUAUUGUCCCAAAAAGUAAUCUCUGUAUUAUAGGACACUUUGUGACCAGCACAGUGAAGUUUCAGGAGAGCAACUUCAGCAAAUUUCAGCACAAACUUUUUUUCCUUAUAUCUGUUCUGUUGUGCUUUAUCCAGAAAUCCAUGUUUUCCCACAACACCAAGAUAGUUGUGUGGUUUAUAUUGUGAUAAAAUACUUCUGUCCUUACACUGUGAAUGUAAAAGCCAGACUAGGCAAAAGAACUGAAAAUUAGAGAAGUUCACUAAAUAGAUAUAUUCCAUUCAACCAUUUUUGCAAGUCUUUGUUUCUCAUUUAUCAGAUGUUUUAGGUUUUCUGCGCAAAUUAAACGCGAGCUGGGUGAAUAUAAAUGCACUAACUGAUUAAUUGUUUGUCAGUUCUGGUGUUAUGCUACCUUUGCAGUGAAAAAAAAGGCUUAAUAAAAUGCAAUUUUAGAGACAUAAUGUACCAGGAAACUCAGACUAUUAUUUCGAGGGUAAAAUUCUGAAGUAUUUCAGGCGGUAAAAUAUAAUGAUGAAUCAGCACAAGAUACUUUUUUAGUAUCUUAAUUCACCUAACAUUAAGGCUGGGCGAUAAACCGGAAAUUUACCUAUAUCAAAAUUUACAACAAUAACCAAUGUCAUAUUGGCCGUAACAGUAAAUUCGAUGUAAAAAAAAUAAAUAAAUAAAAGUUAGUUUCAGAUGUGUGUAGGUAGGUUAUGGUCUCAUGUCCCUUUAAGACGCUGUCCUACAUCGGAGAUGUGACUCCACCCCAUCCAGUCCAUAACAAAGAGGGAAAGACAGGUGAGGAGAUGGAGGACGGUUCAAAAGUUGUUCUGACUGAAGUAGAGAAAGUUAAAGUGGGAGGGGGUGAGCAUCGUCCAUUUAUCGUUAGAGGUGAACUGCUCAAUAUGUCGUGAUAUUGAUUUGAAGUCAUAUCACCCAGCCCUACCUAACAUACCAUUGGAAAGUAGAGAUUUAUGGGUCUUCAGUGGCUAUAAUUCUUUCAUCUCAAGACUUGUAAUCAUGUAACAAAACUUAUCACCUGCACAUGCAAGUCUGGGACAUCUCAAACAGCUCUAACAAUGAAGAAAUCUAGAGAUUGUCCUUGUCUUGCCGGGUGAAACACAAUCUUUGUGUACCACAUGUUAUGCUGUCUAGUUUGAAUACACUCUUCUCUAACAAGAAUCACUGAUGCAAUACAUCAGUCAGCUAAACAGCCAGAUUCACACAGACGGUGGAUUCCAGUCCAUUUCUACAGCAGCUGGAUCUCAUUGGUUCAUUCAUCAAAGCCUGCUUCCUGUCCUCCAUCUCCCACCGGAACCAAUUUGUUCAUAACCCCUUGAAUUCUGGCACCCUCGCAUCUAGUGUGGAGACAAGGACUGCUUCCUCCAUAAUUAGUCUGUACCAGACAUUACCGUCACAGUGACAAAAACAGGACCUUAUCCAGUAUGGUCUGUAAUUCUGGUCUGCACCGAGGAAGGCACAGAGGGAGACGUUAGGCACAUGAAGGGAGGUAAAGAGAAAUGAUAAGGUAUGAGUAAAAAGCCAGUGAAAAGAUUAAAAAUUUGUUAUAAUUAGGUUGUGCAGUUAGGGACCAAGGAGAAUGACUGAGAUGGAGAAAGAAGAAAAGGAGAUGAGGAUGGCUUGGAUUUAAACAGAAUAGGAAAACAUGGAAAAAAAAUAUCAUGAAUUGAGUGAGCAAACAAAGAAUGGACCAGUAUCAGAGAGGUACAGACAACAAAGAAGCAUAUCUCUAAAAAAGAUAUGUCCAGGGUACAAACUUGAAGGUGAACAAGUUUGAUUUCUUAAAAUUAUGUGAAAGAAGAACAUGAAGACAUUCAGGGAAACGUGUUCCACUCACCAAAGAGGAAAGUGUGUGAAUGAGCGAAUACUUCAAAAAGGUAAAUGAGGUUACAGUAAGAAAGACAGACGUUGGUGGAUUAUGAAGGCGCUUAGGUAUUUAAGAGGCAGGAGCCGUUUUCUUUUCAUCUCCGACAAGCUGAGUUUAACGUCUUAAUCAAGAUGUCUACUUGAAGAAAUAAUUAUACUUGUACAUGCACAGCACCAUACUGGUUCUGAAACAUAUAAUACCUCAUUCCUUCGGUAGAUUAUCAUUCAAUAAUCGCUACUAUACACUGACUGACAUCUGACCCAGUUCUUUAAAAGUGUGCAAGUGUGAACAAAGAGCAGAAGUGAAGUUUUUUAACACAAGUGUUGGUGAAGAGCAUAUUCUAACAGACAACAGCACCAUGGACUUUUUCCAGACUACAUUCAUUAGACUAAAACGGCAAAAUUCAUGGAAAAAUACACAUCUGCAGGGCGCCACUGGCCUAGCAAUUUAGGGGCGCCUCUCAUGUUCGGAGGUUGUGAUCUUCAGGCAGCAGGCUCGGGUUUGAUCUCAGCUUGUCAACCCCCUCUCUCUCCUAGAUCUUAGUUUCUGUCCUCUCCAAACAAAUGUAAAAAGCCAGAGAAAAUUAAGAAAUAAGAAUAUGCAUCCUCUAGAAAAAGAAAUGUUGAAAAAUAAUUUCAUGUCAUAGUGCUUGAGCAAACAUAUUGUUCAUAUUUUUCACAUUAGCAUUUCCCACUUAUUGUAACUAUAACGAGCAGUUAUUGUCAUGUGGGAGUCUGUGGCAUGUGAAGUUUAUUCCUCCCAGGCAAGACAAGGUCUUUGCAGACUGAAGUGCAACAUGUCCUUCUCAACUCACUUUAAAUAACUAGAUAAUUUUUUUCUUCCCUUCUUGUCAUUUUAGUUCUAAAAGUGUUUUUUUCUUAACGUCUUUCACCGCUGUCUGAAAUACCGGUUAACUACUUCUUUGGCUAAUUAGCUUCCAUUCACACGUCCUGUCAUCAGGGUCACUAAAGGGCCAUUGAAAUAGUAAGAGAGUGAGUCAUAUUCUCAAGUAGAGCUAUCGUUUUCUCCUUUAGGUUAUCCAUACUUGACACAGGCAUAUUGAUAAGUAUAUCACACUUGUCAGGAUACUGGUAUACUAUUGAUAUUUCAUGCAACCUUGAAAGAAAUAUGCUUUGUUUAUGUCUCACUCAAGACACGAUAAUGAAUUUCAGUCUAUUUCAACCUCUUCAAAGGAGCUUCAACACAAUAAAAAUAGGAAAGCAGGAGUGAAAUGAAAACUCAGAUCACAGAGAUUCAGUUAAAAACUACAUGUACCAAGUUCUGGGCACACAGUUGUUUAUAAAAUCAGCUUUCUCUGCCCACAGGCAUAGACUUGACAUGAGUCUAUGUAUCACCAGCUUGUUUUAGGGGGAGAGAGGAAUCGUAGCUUACAUGUGAGAUCCUUACAUUUUGCAAUACUGUGAUAUAAUACCAUCACCACAAAAAGCAGGGAAAAAAAUUUAAAAACUGAAAAGAAAUUCUACUUAUAUCGCCCACUACCAGGUCCCACUAACGACAUCUGCCAUGGCAGCAGUAAUGUAGCAUCACAAAUACUGGGAGGAGGUAAAGAAACAUUGUCUGUCUUUGUACUGCAACUGCUCCGGACUCAAACAAAGCUUUUUAGUAAGAACUGAUCACAAAGAGCUUGCAUGUAGCUCUUUAAGACUAUAACAAGCAGGGUAAGCAGCUGUUUAACCUAAAGAGUUUGUUCUUGCAUUUUUGAAGACUGCAGGAAACCACAGUAUCAAAGAAGUACUGUGGAGCACAGUUGCCAUAGUGUCAACAUAAAUAUUACAUUAGGGCAGUUAAGAUUUGCAAAAGCAUUUUGGAAAGAUACAGUGACUUAGAAUGCAACUUUGUUUGUGCAGAGAAAAACUCCAAAGUUCAAGUCAGGGGAAGCUGUUUUAACUGCCCGUCCUUCACAAUUACAUGAUGUUUUUAUUUCAGGAACAGGAGAAACAACAUCAUGUCCAAAUCACGACUGGUUUGACUUAACUUGCAGAAACAAAGGAAGGAAAGACAAGCAGGUGGAUCAUCACGUACACAACAUGUCAGAGAAAGAAAGACAAACACUUUCAGAGAGACUUGACAUCCUGAGCUCCGGGUAGAGCGAUUGAGGACAGCGUCUGGUGUAAAAAUAAGCUGUGUUCUCCAGCAGGUGUGGAGCUCUGAGGUAAGAUCUCGCCCUCUAUGAUUGCCACCUGCACACAAAGAAGUACCACUUCCAUGUACAAUGACAGUAAUGAUAGGAUAGCGGCUACAGCCUGUACCCUCUUAUUAAAACCUGCACGCUCUCUUUGUCACACGCUUAAGGUAAGGUACAAUGAGGACCACAUACACAAACUGCAAAUACACAUAUCUGAGCACAGCAACACUCUAUAAGCACGAGCAAAAUGCAAGCUGUAGCCUCAUUACCCUUCUCUAAACAUCAGUGGAAUAAAACUCUAAUAUGGAAAGAGGGUGGAAAAGGUUAAUAACCAGCCUUAUUAAUUUAGGAUUAAAUAGGCUGUAAUGAAAUCACAGAGCUGUGCUCAAUAAACUGUUCAGUUUCGCACUCCAAAGAAGUACCCACCAUCGGCUGCUGAUCUAACCCUGUCACCGCUGUCGCAUCUCUUUCAGUGGGGCUUUUAUUUUGUUAUUUAUUCGGUUAUUUGGGGGAGAAAUUAAAGGGUAAUUGAAAGAGCAGAAGUCAUGUGACCUGGAGGCUCUUAGGCCAUUGGUUGAUGAAGUUAUCUAAUUCUAGCUUUAGGGACUUCAGCCACAAAGCAUGAUGACUCACAAUGUGUAGGAUAUAAAACAGCAAAUGAAAAGUUUUGUGGAAAGGUUUUUAAAUGAGGCACUUGGAGACAAGUUGCGUCAGUCAACAUCCGAGAGUUUAUUUUCCAUGUCUCUCGUUUCUGUAUGUCAAUCAGGGUGACUGAGUUUGAUUGCUGGAAGUCUCUUAUCGUGAAUCCCAUUUGGUGGAAAAUGCCACCGAGACAGUUUGAAGAUCAGUGUUCGAUGGAUAUUUGCACAACAUCAUUAACAUCUCAUUUCGUCCAACAACAACAGCAUGAGUGGGACCCAAAUGUUAAUGAGUUGUGAUUGGACCUUUUACCUUGACUCGUACACGACCAAAGCGUGGAAGAAGGACCCCGGCAAAUGAAAUGUCCUUGUUAUUACAGCAAUGACUCAGCUACUUAUGGCCAGUUAGUUCUCAUUUCAAUAAAAUUAAAGUAAGUCUUUUUCUUACCAUUAAAUCUGUUCGAAAUGAUUUAAAACUCAUGAUAUUUUAAUGUGCAAUAAAUCCAAUUUUAGUAGUGAAUGGUUCACAGGGUUGGGGCCUAAUGAGGGUAAAGAAGAUGGAGGGUGAUACAGCCCAAGCUCAAGAUAGUUGAUCAUCAAUGAGUCAGCAUCAGCACGAGGAAAACCAGGGAGUUAACAAAUCUUACUACUUUUUCAAAUUAAAUAUCUCCUUCAUUUCACAGCGUAAUGUUUGUUCUCUGAAGCAUUCAUGUUUUAAAAUCAUCUUCAUUUUAUCUGAAUUUCAAAAAUUACCGAAUGUGGAGGUACAGGGUUCCUAAUGGGCUACUAUGAUGAUGAAAAUGAAACUAACUUGAAGAACUAAAGCUGGUUGUAUGUAUAGUUACAAAACUUCAACCACAUUUACUUUAUUUAUUUGGCAUUGACGGAGUUGCACACUUAUAUACAUGUUGAAGAAGAGCAGCAAGGACUGAAAAGAAAAGGCUAGGCAGUCCGCAAAUAGGCGGAUCAUGUUUUACUUGGGAUCUUGGAUUUGUUGGUUUUCUAGGUGGUCCCUUAAAGGGAUAUUCCGGCGUAAAAUUAAGUUAGGGUCAAACACACUGUAACACAGAGUUAGACAACCUCUCAAGAGAUUGAAUGUUGCUGACCGCUUGCUUCUCUCAUUAUACCGACUUUAGUAACAACCACACAAUAACAAUUCAAAGCAGUCUAAGGAGCCAUAAACAAACAAACAAAACACCACUCAUAGCCACAAAUAAUGCUCAGAACAGCACCUAACUUCAUCAACAGUACAUAUAGGGUCCCAGCCAUAGUACUAGCCACCAAACAUCUUUUUAGCUUUGCCUAAUUUCUUUAGAGAGACUAGUCAUAACUCACCUACUCUCUUCCAGCAGCUGCUUGUUUGAACGGAGACCUUGGACCAGUCCAUCACCGACUGCUGCGGGGUGACGCAGCUCGAGGAAGAACAGUUAUGAUCAUUUUCUCGUGGAAAUGUAAUCAGACCUAGAGCCUCUUUGCUAAAGAAAUUAGACAAAGCUAAAAAGAUGUAUGUACUGUUGAUGAAGUUAAGUACUGUUCUGAUCAUUAUUUGUGGCUAUAGAGUGGAGUUUUGGUUGAGCGCGUGGCUCCUUAGACCGCUGUGUACUGCUAUCGUCAUUACUAAAGUUGGUUUAACUAGAGAAGCAAGUAUGCGGCAACAUUCAUCUCUCAGUGGGGUGUCUAACUCUGUGUCACCAUGUGUUUGACCCUAACUUAAUUUUACGCCGGAAUAUCCCUUUAAGCCUAGUGCUUAUUAAAACCAGAAAAAAAGCCUGAUUUAAUACAUUAAUAUAAUUAUGAUGGAGCUAACAUAGUAUCCAAAAGAUUGGUUGAUAUAACUGUAUGUAUAUUAGUUGAAGACAGAAAGUCAAGUACUGAGGGCACAGGGUGCUGGUUCACACUGUGUGUAGUUCACCCACUUAUGUCACAUUGUGGAACAUUUCUUAAUUAUUUUAAUCCUCUGCUAUGUCUCCAGAAUCUGACAGUAAUUGACCUUCUGUGCUCUAAUUUACUGCAAGAAAUUUAACCCAGAUCCCAACUUUAUGGAGUGAAAUUAUUUAGAGAACAGCCACAGUGCUGAUAAUAUGUUCUAAGCACCAGUAAAAAAUGUCUUUGCUGGAAGCAGUAGUUUUAUUUUACCCUUAUAGAUUGUGUAUCUGGUGGACAGACUGCGGCCUUUUAUUACAGAUGGCACAGAGGACUAUUGUUUGUGCAUUUGAUUGCAGUCAGGUAAUAGGGACUAAAUGUAACUGAGUGUCAGUGUAACUUUGCAGCUCACUAAGGAGAGGAGAAAAUAGAUACACAUAUACAGAUAAAGGUUGUUGCACACAUCUUUAAAUGUUUUUGAAGGCAGCUUUAAGCGUUACAUACCCUUGAUUAUGUAUGCAUCAUUAAUUAUUGAAUAUAUGCUCCCCUGGAACAGUACAUCUCUCUUUUCUGCUUUCUGUUGUCUUUGUUGCUGAAUACCAAGGCUUGACAUUUGCCUUUUUAUUAUCUAAACUCCUUACUUGAGGAAAGAGAACAAGACCUGCAGUGAUUAUUUCAGGGUAGCAGUUUGCUGAAUUUGUUAUUUACAGUGACACAAGCGC